UGGAAGUGCCGUCGCUAAGUGGUCGCCUUUAUCGCCAUUCCCCUGAUCCUCCAUUCGUACGCAAUGAUGUGUUUGCAACGCAAUUUAUUUAAAAUGCAGAAUUUUGGGAAGAUUGGCUGAUAAGAAAUGUGGAGAUGAUCAAAAGUGAUCUAAUAAUGAGGGCUGACUAAUUGGCGAAUGAAUGGAAUGCCUAGACCUGGAUUAAAGGAUGAAUUAAAGAAGUUACAUGGAAUUAUAAGUAGAAGCCCCACUUUUAAUGCUUUUGGAGAAGAAGCUGCCUGUGGAGCACCCCUUGUCAACAGAAAGAAGAAGACAACGUAUUUCUGACACCUAUUGAUGUGGAUAUGGACGAAGCCAGCCGACGAGGACUCAUUUGAAUCUGGACGAGGACGAGCCCUCAAUUGGAUCUGGACGAAGAUAAGGGCUUAUUUGAAUCUGGACGAGGACGAAGCCAGCAGGAUGCGUUGAGCACUCAAUUGGAUCUAGACAAAUUAUAAACUAUUUUAAGUGACAUUGUAUUUUAUUUUUAAUCACCAUAUUGUAAUUGUUUCUCUUCGUGGAGGCCAGUCCCAAAAAAAAAAAGGACGGCCUCCAAAUAUAUUCUACCCUCCGUUUGGUGUUUCCUUUCCGCGCGACUGUAUGCAGCUCCAGAAGAAGAAAAACGACUCUAUCCUAUGCGGAUAUACGUUCAAUUAAUUUUUUUAGAACUGAAUUAUUAUGAUUAUUGCUUGACACAUACAGUCGCGUGCAAAUUUUUUUUAAAACGAAA